UACGUAGGCAGCAAGCGUUGUUCGGAGUUACUGGGCGUAAAGGGUGCGUAGGCGGCUUUUUAAGUUUGGUGUGAAAUCUCCCGGCUCAACUGGGAGGGUGCGCCGAAUACUGAGAGGCUAGAGUGUGGGAGAGGAAAAGUGGAAUUCCUGGUGUAGCGGUGAAAAUGCGUAGAUAUCAGGAGGAACACCGGUGGUGUAAACGGCUUUCUGGACCAUAACUGACGCUGAGGCACGAAAGCGUGGGUAGCAAACAGG
rnacentral:rRNA from 1 species